rnacentral:rRNA from 1 species
UCCGGGUUAUUACCUUCAGUAACGGCGAGUGAAGCGGUAAAAGCUCAAAUUUGAAAUCUGGCUCUUUCAGAGUCCGAGUUGUAAUUUGUAGAAGAUGCUUCGGGUGUGGUUCCGGUCUAAGUUCCUUGGAACAGGACGUCAUAGAGGGUGAGAAUCCCGUAUGUGACUGGAUACCUAUGCUCAUGUGAAGCUCUUUCGACGAGUCGAGUUGUUUGGGAAUGCAGCUCAAAAUGGGUGGUAUAUUUCAUCUAAAGCUAAAUAUUGGCCAGAGACCGAUAGCGCACAAGUAGAGUGAUCGAAAGAUGAAAAGCACUUUGGAAAGAGAGUUAAACAGUACGUGAAAUUGUUGAAAGGGAAGCGCUUGCAAUCAGACUUGCACUUGGUGUUCAUCAGGGUUUCGUGCCCUGUGUACUUCAUCAAGUUCAGGCCAGCAUCAGUUUGAGUGGUUAGAUAAAGGCUUGGAGAAUGUGGCCCUCUUCGGGGGGUGUUAUAGCUCCAGGUGCAAUGUAGCCUACUUGGACUGAGGACCGCGCUUCGGCUAGGAUGCUGGCGUAAUGGUUGUAAGCGACCCGUCUUGAA